AUUGAACGCUGGCGGCAUGCCUUACACAUGCAAGUCGAACGGCAGCAUGGAGAGCUUGCUCUCUGAUGGCGAGUGGCGAACGGGUGAGUAAUGCAUCGGAACGUACCGUGUAAUGGGGGAUGACGUAGCGAAAGUUACGCUAAUACCGCAUACGACCUGAGGGUGAAAGCAGGGGAUCGCAAGACCUUGCGUUAUACGAGCGGCCGAUGUCAGAUUAGCUAGUUGGUGGGGUAAAGGCUCACCAAGGCGACGAUCUGUAGCGGGGCUGCGAGGAUGAUCCGCCACACGGGGACUGAGACACGGCCCAGAGCCCUACGGGAGGCAGCAGUGGGGAAUUUUGGACAAUGGGGGCAACCCCGAUCCAGCCAUGCCGCGUGAGUGAAGAAGGCCUUCGGGUUGUAAAGCUCUUUCGGCCGGGAAGAAAUCGCACAGGCUAAUACUCUGUGUGGAUGACGGUACCGGCAUAAGAAGCACCGGCUAACUACGUGCCAGCAGCCGCGGUAA
rnacentral:rRNA from 1 species